rnacentral:rRNA from 1 species
CCUGAGAAACCCAAAAGAUCGAAUGGGGAGAUUCAUCGUCAGCGGUCUUGGUACGUGUGCGGCUCGCGAUGCCGGAGACUUCGGUCUCCAGGCACUCGUCCGCAUGUUUUUUUUUCUCGACCGUCGGCGUGCACUUCUCCCCUAGUAGGACGUCGCGACCCGUUGGGUGUCGGUCUACGGCCCGGGCGGUAGCCUGUCUCGUGUUUGCAACACUGCGUAACGCGAUUCAGACCCCCGGUCGCCCGACCGGCUGCUCGGCGGUACUCGUAAGGUAUCUGGCCGCAAAUAUUCGAACUGCGUCCGGCCCGUCGCAAGCGAGGCAAGUGUUUCCCGGUUGUACGGAUCUAAUGCCGUCACCGGGCCUUGCCAGCUGUUGGUUGACGGUGUCCUGGGACUGGCUAAUUCAAUUAUGAUACCGGUCGGCGACGCUACUGCUUUGGGUACUUUCAGGACCCGUCUUGAAACACGGACCAAGGAGUCUAACAUGUGCGCGAGUCAUUGGGAACUAUUAAGCCUAAAGGCGCAAUGAAAGUGAAGGUCGGCCUUGCGCCGACCGAGGGAGGAUGGGCCGCGUCACGAUGCGGUCCCGCACUCCCGGGGCGUCUCGUUCUCAUUGCGAGAARRGGCGCACCCAGAGCG